UAUCAGGUAAACCAGGGCCUGAAUUUCAUUUUGGAAAAUGGUGAAAAGUCCCCCCUAGGUGAUUGUUAUGGGGGGAUUUUUUUAAUUUGAAGUGGGAGUGACUUUUUUUUUUUUUUUUUUUUUUAAAUUACAACUGACACACACCCGCCUCCUGUCACUCACUUGUCUCAUUCGCUCCGGUUGAAUAGUGUUGGGUGUUAGGUCGUGACUUCUGAAUUUCGGCAAGGGGUUGCAGGUAAAAGUGCAUAAUUUUAGUCAUUCCUGCAGGUUUCACGCUCACACCAAAAAGCCGUCUCUUAAACAGCUCGCGAAAAACAAAUUGAGCUCUUUUUCAUGGCUUAUUGCGCUUAAACGGUUUGCGCUUUAAAAGACAAAAAUAAAAUAAACAGUGCCUUAACCAAAAAGAUUCAUUCUCAUGUUACGCAGCACGUUUGAGCUUCAGCAAGAACCAAUGAGGUUCAUUCUCGUGUUACGCACCACGUUUGAGCUUCAGCAAGAAUCAAUGAGGUUCAUUCUCGUGUUACGCAGCACGUUUGAGCUUCAGCAAGAACCAAUGAGGUUCAUUCUCGUGUUACGCAGCACGUUUGAGCUUCAGCAAGAACCAAUGAGGUUCAUUCUCGUGUUACGCAGCACGUUUGAGCUUCAGCAAGAACCAAUGAGGUUCAUUCUCGUGUUACGCACCACGUUUGAGCUUCAGCAAGAAUCAAUGAGGUUCAUUCUCGUGUUACGCAGCACGUUUGAGCUUCAGCAAGAACCAAUGAGGUUCAUUCUCGUGUUACGCAGCACGUUUGAGCUUCAGCAAGAACCAAUGAGGUUCAUUCUCGUGUUACGCAGCACGUUUGAGCUUCAGCAAGAACCAAUGAGGUUCAUUUUCGUGUUACGCAGCACGUUUGAGCUUCAGCAAAACCCAAUGAGGUUCAUUCUCGUGUUACGCGGCACGUUUGAGCUUCAGCAAGAACCAAUGAGGUUCAUUCUCGUGUUACGUGGCACGUUUGAGCUUCAGCAAGAACCAAUGAGGUUCAUUCUCGUGUUACGCGGCACGUUUGAGCUUCAGCAAGAACCAAUGAGGUUCAUUCUCGUGUUACGCGGCACGUUUGAGCUUCAGCAAGAACCAAUGAGGUUCAUUCUCGUGUUACGCAGCACGUUUGAGCUUCAGCAAGAACCAAUGAGGUUCAUUCUCGUGUUACGCAGCACGUUUGAGCUUCAGCAAGAACCAAUGAGGUUCAUUCGUGUUACGCAGCACGUUUGAGCUUCAGCAAGAACCAAUGAGGUUCAUUCUCGUGUUACGAAGCACGUUUCAGCUUAAGCAAGAACCAAUGAGGUUCAUUCUCGUGUUACGAAGCACAUUUCAGCUUAAGCAAGAACCAAUGAGGUUCAUUCUCGUGUUACGCAGCACGUUUGAGCUUCAGCAAGAACCAAUGAGGUUCAUUCUCGUGUUACGCAGCACGUUUGAGCUUCAGCAAGAAUCAAUGAGGUUCAUUCUCGUGUUACGCAGCACGUUUCAGCUUCAGCAAGAACCAAUGAGGUUCAUUCUCGUGUUACGCAGCACGUUUGAGCUUCAGCAAGAACCAAUGAGGUUCAUUCUCGUGUUACGCAGCACGUUUGAGCUUCAGCAAGAACCAAUGAGGUUCAUUCUCGUGUUACGCAGCACGUUUGAGCUUCAGCAAGAACCAAUGAGGUUCAUUCUCGUGUUACGCAGCACGUUUGAGCUUCAGCAAGAACCAAUGAGGUUCAUUCUCGUGUUACGCAGCACGUUUGAGCUUCAGCAAGAACCAAUGAGGUUCAUUCUCGUGUUACGCAGCACGUUUGAGCUUCAGCAAGAACCAAUGAGGUUCAUUCUCGUGUUACGCAGCACGUUUGAGCUUCAGCAAGAACCAAUGAGGUUCAUUCUCGUGUUACGCAGCACGUUUGAGCUUCAGCAAGAAUCAAUGAGGUUCAUUCUCGUGUUACGCAGCACGUUUCAGCUUCAGCAAGAACCAAUGAGGUUCAUUCUCGUGUUACGCAGCACAAUUGAGCUUCAGCAAGAACCAAUGAGGUUCAUUCUCGUGUUACGCAGCACGAGAAUGAACCAAUGAGGUUCAUUCUCGUGUUACGAAGCACGUUUGAGCUUCACAAGAACCAAUGAGGUUCAUUCUCGUGUUACGAAGCACGUUUGAGC